UGUAUAAUGGGUCAGCGACUUAUAUUCUGUAGCAAGGUUAACCGUAUAGGGGAGCCGCAGGGAAACCGAGUCUUAACUGGGCGUUAAGUUGCAGGGUAUAGACCCGAAACCCGGUGAUCUAGCCAUGGGCAGGUUGAAGGUUGGGUAACACUAACUGGAGGACCGAACCGACUAAUGUUGAAAAAUUAGCGGAUGACUUGUGGCUGGGGGUGAAAGGCCAAUCAAACCGGGAGAUAGCUGGUUCUCCCCGAAAGCUAUUUAGGUAGCGCCUCGUGAACUCAUCUUCGGGGGUAGAGCACUGUUUCGGCUAGGGGGUCAUCCCGACUUACCAACCCGAUGCAAACUACGAAUACCGAAGAAUGUUAUCACGGGAGACACACGGCGGGUGCUAACGUCCGUCGUGAAGAGGGAAACAACCCAGACCGCCAGCUAAGGUCCCAAAGUCAUGGUUAAGUGGGAAACGAUGUGGGAAGGCACAGACAGCCAGGAUGUUGGCUUAGAAGCAGCCAUCAUUUAAAGAAAGCGUAAUAGCUCACUGGUCGAGUCGGCCUGCGCGGAAGAUGUAACGGGGCUAAACCAUGCACCGAAGCUGCGGCAGCGACACUAUGUGUUGUUGGGUAGGGGAGCGUUCUGUAAGCCUGCGAAGGUGUGCUGUGAGGCAUGCUGGAGGUAUCAGAAGUGCGAAUGCUGACAUAAGUAACGAUAAAGCGGGUGAAAAGCCCGCUCGCCGGAAGACCAAGGGUUCCUGUCCAACGUUAAUCGGGGCAGGGUGAGUCGACCCCUAAGGCGAGGCCGAAAGGCGUAGUCGAUGGGAAACAGGUUAAUAUUCCUGUACUUGGUGUUACUGCGAAGGGGGGACGGAGAAGGCUAUGUUAGCCGGGCGACGGUUGUCCCGGUUUAAGCAUGUAGGCUGGUUAUCCAGGCAAAUCCGGAUAAUCAAGGCUGAGGUGUGAUGACGAGGCACUACGGUGCUGAAGUAACAAAUGCCCUGCUUCCAGGAAAAGCCUCUAAGCAUCAGGUAACAUCAAAUCGUACCCCAAACCGACACAGGUGGUCAGGUAGAGAAUACCAAGGCGCUUGAGAGAACUCGGGUGAAGGAACUAGGCAAAAUGGUGCCGUAACUUCGGGAGAAGGCACGCUGGUGUGUAGGUGAAGUCCCUGCGGAUGGAGCUGAGACCAGUCGAAGAUACCAGCUGGCUGCAACUGUUUAUUAAAAACACAGCACUGUGCAAACACGAAAGUGGACGUAUACGGUGUGACGCCUGCCCGGUGCCGGAAGGUUAAUUGAUGGGGUUAUCCGUAAGGAGAAGCUCUUGAUCGAAGCCCCGGUAAACGGCGGCCGUAACUAUAACGGUCCUAAGGUAGCGAAAUUCCUUGUCGGGUAAGUUCCGACCUGCACGAAUGGCGUAAUGAUGGCCAGGCUGUCUCCACCCGAGACUCAGUGAAAUUGAACUCGCUGUGAAGAUGCAGUGUACCCGCGGCAAGACGGAAAGACCCCGUGAACCUUUACUAUAGCUUGACACUGAACAUUGAGCCUUGAUGUGUAGGAUAGGUGGGAGGCUUUGAAGCGUGGACGCCAGUCUGCGUGGAGCCAACCUUGAAAUACCACCCUUUAAUGUUUGAUGUUCUAACGUUGGCCCCUGACCGGGGUUGCGGACAGUGUCUGGUGGGUAGUUUGACUGGGGCGGUCUCCUCCCAAAGCGUAACGGAGGAGCACGAAGGUUAGCUAAUCCUGGUCGGACAUCAGGAGGUUAGUGCAAUGGCAUAAGCUAGCUUGACUGCGAGCGUGACGGCGCGAGCAGGUGCGAAAGCAGGUCAUAGUGAUCCGGUGGUUCUGAAUGGAAGGGCCAUCGCUCAACGGAUAAAAGGUACUCCGGGGAUAACAGGCUGAUACCGCCCAAGAGUUCAUAUCGACGGCGGUGUUUGGCACCUCGAUGUCGGCUCAUCACAUCCUGGGGCUGAAGUAGGUCCCAAGGGUAUGGCUGUUCGCCAUUUAAAGUGGUACGCGAGCUGGGUUUAGAACGUCGUGAGACAGUUCGGUCCCUAUCUGC
rnacentral:rRNA from 1 species